rnacentral:rRNA from 1 species
ACUGCCUGCCCAGUGACAACCGUUAAACGGCCGCGGUAUCCUGACCGUGCAAAGGUAGCAUAAUCACUUGUUCUCUAAAUAAGGACUUGUAUGAAUGGCCACACGAGGGUUUUACUGUCUCUUACUUCCAAUCAGUGAAAUUGACCUUCCCGUGAAGAGGCGGGAAUAUAUUAAUAAGACGAGAAGACCCUAUGGAGCUUUAACUACUUAGCCCAAAGAAACAAAAUUUAUUUCUAAGGAAACAACAACAUUCUCUAUGGGCUAACAGCUUUGGUUGGGGUGACCUCGGAGAACAAAAAAUCCUCCGAGCGAUUUUAAAGACUAGACCCACAAGUCAAAUCACAUAAUCGCUUAUUGAUCCAAAUAAUUGAUCAACGGAACAAGUUACCCUAGGGAUAACAGCGCAAUCCUAUUCAAGAGUCCAUAUCGACAAUAGGGUUUACGACCUCGAUGUUGGAUCAGGACAUCCCGAUGGUGCAACCGCUAUCAAAGGUU